UUUAAGGCUACACGAUUUUAUAGUGCUCAACAUAAUGCCACUUGCGAUGCGAUUCGGGUCCCCGAAUUUCACGUCGCCUCUUGACUUUGACAGACAACACUUUCAAUUUCCUCUUGCCAUAAUUUUUGGCACUUUAUGUGCCAGCAGAUAAGACAUGCCUCUAUAAGUAUGCAUCUCCGCUCGUUUCUGGGUUUCUUCUUUGCUCGUCUUACUUUUGAUUUUUUGGGCUGGUCUCUCAAGUGUUUAGCAUUAAACGCUUCCUUCGACCUGCUCGCUGGCGAUCCAUUGAUAUGCGUUAGUGCUCGCCGGCCGCAUCGUUUCUUAUUAUCCUUUUUUUGGAAAACGUUUCACGUCGCUUUUGCCACUUCACCUUCCCCUUCUUUCAAAACGCUCGAAUAUCAAGUCCGUCCGUUUGUCUUUAAAUAUGUUUUCCCUUUUCGGGGUUCAAAAUCGGAGAAACCAAGACCAAGACCAAGACCAAGAAACUCUCAGCAGUAGGGGGUCGUGGCCGUGGCUGCUGACUGGAGAUUUUCCAUUUUCAUAAUCUCCGCGCUGUUGUCAACGAAGGAAAACCUACUCCACAUUAUCUCCUCUCCGUUUUUCCCCCCAAACCCCAGAUCACAUUCACGUUCUCGUUCCCGUUUUCAGUUCCCGGUUCUCACACGUUAGCAUGGAAAAUUUCGGUAAUUAUAUAUGUUGAACAGUUUUCCAUCGUUUACAUAUAAAUUUGUGCAUUUUCAGUUGUCACUCGGCUUGUUUUUUUUGGGGUUAUGGUUUUUGGGUUGGGGUUAUGAAGUCCGUGGACCUCGAUUUACAUGUAUUUCGACAAUGUUUUCCCCGGCUUGCAACACGAAAAUUGCCAUUCAAUUGUCGUCGUUUCA